AUUGAACGCUGGCGGCAUGCCUUACACAUGCAAGUCGAACGGCAGCACGGGGCAACCUGGUGGCGAGUGGCGAACGGGUGAGUAAUGCAUCGGAACGUACCUUUCAGUGGGGGACAACGUAGCGAAAGUUACGCUAAGACCGCAUAUUCCGUGAGCAGGAAAGCAGGGGAUCGCAAGACCUUGCGCUGACUGAGCGGCCGAUGUCAGAUUAGCUAGUUGGUGAGGUAAAGGCUCACCAAGGCGACGAUCUGUAGCGGGUCUGAGAGGAUGAUCCGCCACACUGGAACUGAGACACGGUCCAGACUCCUACGGGAGGCAGCAGUGGGGAAUUUUGGACAAUGGGGGCAACCCUGAUCCAGCCAUGCCGCGUGAGUGAAGAAGGCCUUCGGGUUGUAAAGCUCUUUCGGCCGGGAAGAAAUCGCACGGGCUAAUACCCUGUGUGGAUGACGGUACCGGAAUAAGAAGCACCGGCUAACUACGUGCCAGCAGCCGCAGUAAUAC
rnacentral:rRNA from 1 species